AUGAACGCUGGCGGCGUGCCUAAUACAUGCAAGUCGAGCGAACGGACGAGAAGCUUGCUUUUCUGAUGUUAGCGGCGGGCGGGUGAGUAACACGUGGAUAACCUACCUAUAAGACUGGGAUAACUUCGGGAAACCGGAGCUAAUACCGGAUAAUAUUUUGAACCGCAUGGUUCCAAAGUGAAAGACGGUCUUGCUGUCACUUAUAGAUGGAUCCGCGCUGCAUUAGCUAGUUGGUAAGGUAACGGCUUACCAAGGCAACGAUGCAUAGCCGACCUGAGAGGGUAAUCGGCCAAACUGGAACUGAGACACGGUCCAGACUCCUACGGGAGGCAGCAGUAGGGAAUCUUCCGCAAUGGGCGAAAGCCUGACGGAGCAACGCCGCGGGAGUGAUGAAGGUCUUCGGAUCGUAAAACUCUGUUAUUAGGGAAGAACAUAUGUGUAAGUAACUGUGCACAUCUUGACGGUACCUAAUCAGAAAGCCACGGCUAACUACGG
rnacentral:rRNA from 1 species